rnacentral:rRNA from 1 species
UACGGGGGGAGCAAGCGUUGCUCGGAAUCACUGGGCGUAAAGCGCACGUAGGCGGAUCUUUAAGUCAGGGGUGAAAUCCUGGAGCUCAACUCCAGAACUGCCUUUGAUACUGGGGAUCUCGAGUCCGGGAGAGGUGAGUGGAACUGCGAGUGUAGAGGUGAAAUUCGUAGAUAUUCGCAAGAACACCAGUGGCGAAGGCGGCUCACUGGCCCGGUACUGACGCUGAGGUGCGAAAGCGUGGGGAGCAAACAGGG